GUUUGAUCAUGGCUCAGAACGAACGCUGGCGGCAUGCCUAACACAUGCAAGUCGAACGCCCCGCAUGGAGAGUGGCGCACGGGUGAGUAACGCGUGGGUAUCUGCCCUGGAGUGGGGGACAACCGCUGGAAACGGCGGCUAAUACCGCAUACGCCCUUAGGGGGAAAGAUUUAUCGCUGUUGGAGGGGCCCGCGUCGGAUUAGCUUGUUGGUGAGGUAACGGCUCACCAAGGCGACGAUCCGUAGCUGGUCUGAGAGGAUGAUCAGCCACACUGGGACUUAGACACGGCCCAGACUCCUACGGGAGGCAGCAGUGGGGAAUAUUGGACAAUGGGCGAAAGCCUGAUCCAGCAAUGCCGCGUGAGUGAAGAAGGCCUUAGGGUUGUAAAACUCUUUCACCGGGGAAGAUGAUGACGGUACCCGGAGAAGAAGCUCCGGCCAACUCCGUGCCAGCAGCCGCGGUAAUACGGAGGGGGCUAGCGUUGUUCGGAAUUACUGGGCGUAAAGCGCACGUAGGCGGUUUGCCAAGUCAGGCGUGAAAGCCCCGGGCUUAACCCGGGAACUGCGCUCAAAACUGGACGACUAGAGUCCGGGAGAGGGUGGUGGAAUUCCCAGUGUAGAGGUGAAAUUCGUUGAUUUGGUAGAAACACAGGGGCGAGGCGGCUCACUGUUCCGCACCUGAGCGUAGGCCGGAAGCUGGGAGCAACAGAAUUAGAUACCUGUAGUCACGCCGUAAUCGAUGAGUGCUAGACGUGGGAAACUCCAGUUUCUUGGUGUCGCAGCUACGCAUGAGCACUCCGCCUGGGAGUACGACCGCAGUUAAAACUCAAUGAUGACGGGGCCCGCACAAGCGGUGGAGCAUGUGUUUAAUCAAGCAACGCGCAGAACCUUACCAGCCCUUGACAUGGGCGUCGCGGACCUGAGAGAUCGGGUCCUUCAGUUCGGCUGGACGCCACACAGGUGCUGCAUGGCUGUCGUCAGCUCGUGUCGUGAGAUGUUGGGUUAAGUCCCGCAACGAGCGCAACCCUCGCCCUUAGUUGCCAUCGGUUCGGCCGGGCACUUCUAGGGGAACUGCCGGUGACAAGCCGGAGGAAGGCGGGGAUGACGUCAAGUCCUCAUGGCCCUUAUGGGCUGGGCUACACACGUGCUACAAUGGCGGUGACAGUGGGUCGCGAAGGGGCAACCUGGAGCUAAUCCCCAAAAGCCGUCUCAGUUCGGAUUGUCCUCUGCAACUCGAGGGCAUGAAGGUGGAAUCGCUAGUAAUCGUGGAUCAGCAUGCCACGGUGAAUACGUUCCCGGGCCUUGUACACACCGCCCGUCACACCAUGGGAGUUGGUUUUACCCGAAGCCGGUGCGCUAACCGCAAGGAGGCAGCCGACCACGGUAAGGUCAGCGACUGGGGUGAAGUCGUAACAAGGUAA
rnacentral:rRNA from 1 species